AAUCUCUGGUGUGAACAUUUCUGAAUCAACAUUUUGAAACGUUCCCAUGCCUCAUGAAAACUUUCUCUUUCCAUCUAUAUAAAGACAACAAUCUCUCUACUUAGUUG
rnacentral:snoRNA from 1 species